rnacentral:rRNA from 1 species
UCGUGAGAUAUUGUGUUUAUUUCCGCCACGAGCAGAACCCUUGAUUUUAGUUGCCGUCGGUAAGUUGCUCUCUUUAAGGUGACUGCCGGUGACAAACCGGAGGAAGGUGGGGAGGGACGUCAAAUCAUCAUGCCCCUUAUGACCUGGGCUACACACGUGUACAAUGGACGGUACAAAGAGCUGCAAGACCGCGAGGUGGAGCUAAUUUCAUAAAACCGUUGUCAGUUCGGAUUGUAGGCUGCAAUUCUCCUACAUGAAGUGGAAUCGCUAGUAAUCGCGGAUCAGCAUGCCGCGGGAAUACGUUUCCCGGCCUUGGUGC